ACGGGAGGCAGCAGUGGGGAAUAUUGGGCAAUGGGCGCAAGCCUGACCCAGCAACGCCGCGUGAGGGAAGAAGGUUUUCGGAUUGUAAACCUCUGUCCUUGGUGACGAAGGAAGUGACGGUACCCGAGAAGGAAGCCCCGGCUAACUACGUGCCAGCAGCCGCGGUAAUACGUAGGGGGCAAGCGUUGUCCGGAAUGACUGGGCGUAAAGGGCGUGUAGGCGGUCGAUUAAGUCCGGAGUGAAAGUCCUGCUUUCAAGGUGGGAAUUGCUUUGGAGACUGGUUGACUUGAGUGCGGAAGAGGUAAGUGGAAUUCCCAGUGUAGCGGUGAAAUGCGUAGAGAUUGGGAGGAACACCAGUGGCGAAGGCGACUUACUGGGCCGUAACUGACGCUGAGGCGCGAAAGUGUGGGGAGCAAACAGGAUUAGAUACCCUGGUA
rnacentral:rRNA from 1 species